UGAUCAGUCCUAUAUAAGAGGUGCACUCUCUUCCCCUUCUGUUAAUAUAAAUUUCAUGGUUGCUUUUCAUCUACAAUAUGAACUGUGUUUUGAAAACUAAACAACAUCAAGAAGGGAGAGGGCCUAGGGUUGAGAGAGUCUUUGAAGUUGUAGAAAGUUAACUGAUGGUCAACUUAGUGAUGUUGGCAUGAUGUAAUGAACAUAAAUUAGGUAAUCAUGGUAUGAUAAUGAUAGCUUGGUCAGAAUGUAGGUAGCUUUGCAUCCUUCUGAUACUCCCAAAAUAAUUUUAGAUGAAACAGAUUGCCACAGAAACCUACAUGCCAACAUUAAGCAGCCUCAAUUGCCAUAACUCACAUGAAAUCAGCUGAUGUCAGUUAAACUGACCAGGUCAACCAACUGAUGAUUCAGUUUGAAUAAUCUACAUUUUUAUUUGUACCUCAUUAGUGAGUAGGCUACUUGCUUGUUA
rnacentral:misc_RNA from 1 species